GGGGUUCUGGGUGAGCCUGGAGAAGAGACUCUCAUCAUGACAGUGUUUGGACACUUCAGCCACCGCUCUGAAUGGCAGCUGGUCAAAGUAGAUUACAAGUCCAUUUUUGAUAGACGGUGUGCCGAAGAGGACUAUAGACCCUGGCAGCUGCACAGCCAGGGGGAAGCAUGUAUCAUGGGAGCAAAAAGAAUAUAUAAGAAGCGAAAAUCAGAGCGGAAGUGUAUGCAAGGAAAAUAUGCAGGAGCUAUGGAAUCUGAACCCUGUGUCUGCACUGAGGCUGAUUUUGAUUGCGACUAUGGUUAUGAGCGACACAGUAAUGGCCAGUGCCUGCCGGCAUUUUGGUUCAAUCCAUCCUCUCUGUCAAAGGAUUGCAGCUUGGGACAGAGUUACCUCAAUAGUACUGGAUGUGGAACCUGGAAUCACGAACUCACUGACUUUUCAAAAGUAUACUAGUGUUAAUAAGAAUGUAUUUUGCUUUCUCUUUAUGUUCAGUCUUGACACAUUUAAACAUGCAUUCUGACCUUUGUAAAUCCAGAAUCACAUUCUAAAAUUUGAUAUUUAAUAUUCUGUGUCAUGGGGCUUAUGCAAUAUUAUUUAAGAAAUACUAUAAUAAGGAAAAAAAUU
rnacentral:sRNA from 1 species